CCCUUAGAUGUUCUGGGCUGCACGCGCGCUACACUGAUGCGAUCAACAAGUUUUUCCUAUGUCGAUAGACACGGGUAAUCUUUUGAACUCGCAUCGUGAUGGGGAUAGAUUAUUGUAAUUAUUAAUCUUCAACGAGGAAUUCCUAGUAGGUGCAAAUCAUCAGUUUGCAUCGAUUACGUCCCUGCCCUUUGUACACACCGCCCGUCGCUGCUACCGAUUGGUUGAUCUGGUGAAUUAUUCGGACUGCCGGCUGAAGGGGUUUCCUCAUCUGCCAGCGGAAAGUCUUGUUAACCCUAUCAACUAGAGGAAGCAGAAGUCGUAAC
rnacentral:rRNA from 1 species